UACGAAGGGGGCUAGCGUUGCUCGGAAUCACUGGGCGUAAAGCGCACGUAGGCGGAUUGCUAAGUCAGGGGUGAAAUCCUGGAGCUCAACUCCAGAACUGCCCUUGAUACUGGCGGUCUCGAGUCCGGGAGAGGUGAGUGGAACUGCGAGUGUAGAGGUGAAAUUCGUAGAUAUUCGCAAGAACACCAGUGGUGAAGGCGGCUCACUGGCCCGGUACUGACGCUGAGGUGCGAAAGCGUGGGGAGCAAACAGG
rnacentral:rRNA from 1 species